GUGGAAUGCUCAACUGAAGGGCUCCCAGGAACUGGGGGUGCACUAGGGCCUCCCGCUCCUCUGUUUUACAUAAAUGGUGCGUUGAGAAGUGGGGACCUGACAUGGACAGGCAUCUUGAAAAUCAGGCAUAUUAAGAGAGGCUGUUGAAAACUGAAUGUGAAAUGGAAGUGAUGCCAGACUUUCAAGUCAAAACUGCUCCUCGGUUUCUCCAGCAAAUCCUCCCGCAAAUUGACUAAAGAUUCAAAUGUA